CUCGCUAUCACUCAAUAUAUUAUGAAUAGCUUCGCAGAUAUUCCUACUUAGAAUCCAUCGAUCAAUGCUUAUACUAAUGCCUUUUGCCUUGGAAGUCCUUGUCAUACACAGGCCUCCGCCCGCUCAGCCACAAGAAGCACCCAAGAGCCACUUGAUAGAUAUUGCCAUGCUGUUUAGGAUAAGAUUUGUUUGCUUAAUCAUAUAAAUAUGGGAAGUAUUUUUAUUGGGUUGUACUCAUUUUAGAUGGCUUGUAAUUGGCAUUGCUGUCAUUGGUUUCGGAGACCUUCGCUUGCUCCGAUGGGCGAUGCAUCCUACGUUGCAGCUUUGAUCCUUUCAGUACUGACUUGAUGUGGGAUACUUGUUGGGGGCGUAGAUUUUUUCUAGACUGUUAGUGAUUCUUUAGAUUAUGGAGAAGGUGUUGUUUGAUUCAAAGUUGGAGCUGGUGUUCUUAGGGAGGACAUGUUCAAAACCGUUGAUCAGCAGCCACAGGGGCGACCUAAGAUUCUCAGGACAAGUGUGUUUCUUUCGAGACACAGGCUUUCGGGCGAAGGUUUCUUAUUCGAUUGCUAGAACAUCUGGUGAAAAUAUUGAUUCCAUAGCCCCAGAAAAAUUGAUGAAAAGUGACUCUUCUAUUAUAAAUGGAUCAAAAGUUGCUGCUAGUCUAUGGCCAUCUCCCACAGAGAAUUAUGUACUUGAUGCUUAUGAAGAUGAGUAUGGAGGAAUCAUCAUCAGGUCAGAGGGAUUGCCUUGGAAUGCAAAUACCUUUGCUUCUGCCCUGCGAGCAUCUCUUUCCCACUGGAAAGUGGAGGGAAAGAAAGGGGUAUGGCUAAAAUUGCCAUUGGAUCGCUCUGAGCUUGUUCCUAUUGCAGUUAAGGAGGGAUUCAAGUACCAUCAUGCAGAGCAAACAUAUGUAAUGCUAACAUAUUGGAUUCCUGAAGGACCUUGCUUGCUUCCUGCCAACGCAUCACAUCAGGUUGGGGUUGGGGGUUUUGUGAUCAAUGAUAAAAACGAGGUGCUUGUGGUGCAAGAGAAAUAUUGUGCUUCAACUUGGAAACUACCUACAGGGUUCAUCCUUGAGUCUGAGGAUAUCUUUACUGGGGCUGUGAGAGAGGUCAAGGAGGAAACUGGAAUCAAUACGGAAUUUGUAGAAAUGGUUGCUUUUAGGCAUGCACACCAUGUGGCGUUUGGAAAAUCAGAUCUAUUUUUCAUCUGCAUGCUGAGACCUUUAUCAAGCCAGAUUAAGAUAGAUGACCUGGAAAUACAAGCAGCCAAGGCAGUGAUAACUACAUGCUUACAUCCAACAUAAAAGCAUAGCAAUAUUCUUCGGAUCUUCGCAUUCUCACCUGCGAACCUCAUGUAGAUUUAUUUUUAUUGUGGAUGCCUCUGUCUGAAUUCCUAGAGCAACCAUGCAUUCAGGAUGACAACAUGUUCAAGAAAAUUAUCGACAUUUGCGUCGCACGGCUUGGCAAGCGCUACUGUGGCUUAGCAGCUCACCAGGUGAUCUCAAAAUUUGAUGGGAGAUCAUCUUCACUGUACUAUAAUGUUGUGGAGCCUCAGGAUUUCCUUUGCCAAGGAUCUUAGAAAGGCAUGAAUGUGUUUCUGCUUUCUUGUUGCCACGCGUGGAGUAACUUUGGAUGAAGCUGAUGAAAUCAAAAUCCUGGCGCUCUUCUGCUUGACAUUUGUGUAUGAACGAUGUAGUAAAACAUAUUCUUUUUUAUGCUCAAUUAAGCUUCAUGGUCACAAUCAACGAAAGGGAACCAUGCCACCUGUAGAAGUGUUCCUUGACCAUGAUAAAUUGUCUCAAAUAAAGGAGACAAGAACAUAGGCAUAUUCCUGUUAAGAAUGAGAACUAUUUAGCA